CUACGGGGUGCAGCAGUGGGGAAUAUUGCACAAUGGGGGAAACCCUGAUGCAGCAACGCCGCGUGGAGGAUGACGCAUUUCGGUGUGUAAACUCCUUUUAUAUAGGAAGAUAAUGACGGUACUAUAUGAAUAAGCACCGGCUAACUCCGUGCCAGCAGCCGCGGUAAUACGGAGGGUGCAAGCGUUACUCGGAAUCACUGGGCGUAAAGCGCGCGCAGGCGGCCUUUUAAGUUGGAUGUGAAAGCCUAUGGCUUAACCAUAGAACUGCAUCCAAAACUAUCAGGCUAGAGUCUGGGAGGGGAAGAUGGAAUUAGUUGUGUAGGGGUAAAAUCCGUAGAGAUAACUAGGAAUACCAAAAGCGAAGGCGAUCUUCUGGAACAGUACUGACGCUGAGGCGCGAAAGCGUGGGGAGCAAACAGGAUUAGAUACCCCCGUAGUC
rnacentral:rRNA from 1 species